GUAUACAACCUACCUUGUACAGGGGGAUAGCCUUUAGAAAUGAAGAUUAAUACCCCAUAAUAUUAUUGGAUCGCCUGGUUUGAUAAUUAAAGGUUACGGUACAAGAUGGGUAUGCGUCCUAUUAGCUAGAUGGUGUGGUAACGGCAUACCAUGGCAACGAUAGGUAGGGGCCCUGAGAGGGGGAUCCCCCACACUGGUACUGAGACACGGACCAGACUCCUACGGGAGGCAGCAGUGAGGAAUAUUGGACAAUGGAGGGAACUCUGAUCCAGCCAUGCCGCGUGCAGGAAGACUGCCCUAUGGGUUGUAAACUGCUUUUAUACAGGAAGAAACAGUGGUACGUGUACCACCUUGACGGUACUGUAAGAAUAAGGAUCGGCUAACUCCGUGCCAGCAGCCGCGGUAAUACGGAGGAUCCAAGCGUUAUCCGGAAUCAUUGGGUUUAAAGGGUCCGUAGUGGACUGGUCAGUCAGAGGUGAAAUCCUGCAGCUCAACUGUAGAACUGCCUUUGAUACUGCUAGUCUUGAAUCAUUAUGAAGUGGUUAGAAUAUGUAGUGUAGCGGUGAAAUGCAUAGAUAUUACAUAGAAUACCAAUUGCGAAGCAGAUCACUAAUAAUGUAUUGACACUGAUGGACGAAAGCGUAGGUAGCGAACGGGAUUAGAUACCCCGGUAGUCUACGCCGUAAACGAUGGAUACUAGCUGUUCGACUUCGGUUGAGUGGCUAAGCGAAAGUGAUAAGUAUCCCACCUGGGGAGUACGUUCGCAAGAAUGAAACUCAAAGGAAUUGACGGGGGCCCGCACAAGCGUGGAGCAUGUGGUUUAAUUCGAUGAUACGCGAGG
rnacentral:rRNA from 1 species